AUACGGAGGGGGCUAGCGUUGUUCGGAAUUACUGGGCGUAAAGCGCGCGUAGGUGGAUUGGUCAGUUGGGGGUGAAAUCCCGAGGCUCAACCUCGGAACUGCCCACAAUACUGCCAAUCUUGAGACCGAGAGAGGUGAGUGGAAUUCCUAGUGUAGAGGUGAAAUUCGUAGAUAUUAGGAAGAACACCAGUGGCGAAGGCGGCUCACUGGCUCGGUACUGACGCUGAGGCGCGAAAGCGUGGGGAGCAAACAGGAUUAGAAACCCCGGUAGUCC
rnacentral:rRNA from 1 species